GUCCUGGCAGUAAACGGUGCACACUUGGUGUGGGGGAAUUCGACCUCUUCCGCGCCGGAGCUAACGCGUUAAGUGUGCCGCCUGGGAAGUACGGUCGCAAGAUUAAAACUCAAAGAAAUUGACGGGGACCCGCACAAGCGGUGGAGUAUGUGGCUUAAUUCGAUGCAACGCGAAGAACCUUACCUGGUCUUGACAUGCAUUCUGUCUCCUGUGAAAGCAGGAUAGGUUAGCAAUAACCGGUUUGCACAGGUGCUGCAUGGCUGUCGU
rnacentral:rRNA from 1 species